rnacentral:rRNA from 1 species
AUUGAACGCUGGCGGCAGGCCUAACACAUGCCAGUCGAGCGGAUGAAGGGAGCUUGCUCCUGGAUUCAGCGGCGGACGGGUGAGUAAUGCCUAGGAAUCUGCCUGGUAGUGGGGGAUAACGUCCGGAAACGGGCGCUAAUACCGCAUACGUCCUGAGGGAGAAAGUGGGGGAUCUUCGGACCUCACGCUAUCAGAUGAGCCUAGGUCGGAUUAGCUAGUUGGUGGGGUAAAGGCCUACCAAGGCGACGAUCCGUAACUGGUCUGAGAGGAUGAUCAGUCACACUGGAACUAAGACACGGUCCAGACUCCUACGGGAGGCAGCAGUGGGGAAUAUUGGACAAUGGGCGAAAGCCUGAUCCAGCCAUGCCGCGUGUGUGAAGAAGGUCUUCGGAUUGUAAAGCACUUUAAGUUGGGAGGAAGGGCAGUAAGUUAAUACCUUGCUGUUUUGACGGUACCAACAGAAUAAGCACCGGCUAACUUCGUG